AUUGAACGCUGGCGGCAGGCCUAACACAUGCCAGUCGAGCGGAUGAAGGGAGCUUGCUCCUGGAUUCAGCGGUGGACGGGUGAGUAAUGCCUAGGAAUCUGCCUGGUAGUGGGGGAUAACGUCCGGAAACGGGCGCUAAUACCGCAUACGUCCUGAGGGAGAAAGUGGGGGAUCUUCGGACCUCACGCUAUCAGAUGAGCCUAGGUCGGAUUAGCUAGUUGGUGGGGUAAAGGCCUACCAAGGCGACGAUCCGUAACUGGUCUGAGAGGAUGAUCAGUCACACUGGAACUGAGACACGGUCCAGACUCCUACGGGAGGCAGCAGUGGGGAAUAUUGGACAAUGGGCGAAAGCCUGAUCCAGCCAUGCCGCGUGUGUGAAGAAGGUCUUCGGAUUGUAAAGCACUUUAAGUUGGGAGGAAGGGCAGUAAGUUAAUACCUUGCUGUUUUGACGUUACCAACAGAAUAAGCACCGGCUAACUUCGUG
rnacentral:rRNA from 1 species